AUUGAACGCUGGCGGCAUGCCUAACACAUGCAAGUCGAGCGAGCGGCGGACGGGGGCGUAAUGUAUGGGGACCGCGCGAUAGAGGGGGAUAAGUAAUGGAAACGGCAUCUAAUACCGCAUACUAUCGGAUAACCCAUAUGGGAUUAGCUAGUGGGUGAGGGAAUGGCUCACCUAGGCGACGAUCCCUAGCUGGUCUGAGAGGAUGAUCAGCCACACGGGGACUGAGACACGGCCCAGACUCCUACGGAGGCAGCAGUGGGGAAUAUUGCACAAUGGGCGAAAGCCGGAUGCAGCCAUGCCGCGUGUAUGAAGAAGGCCCUAGGGUUGUAAAGUACUUUCAGUCGGGAGGCGUUACCGACAGAAGAAGCACCGGCUAACUACGUGCCAGCAGCCGCGGUAAUAC
rnacentral:rRNA from 1 species